UUAACGCUCGCUGCUCCCCGGGAAAACAUGGCGGAACUUCCCCGAGCCGGACUUUCGGCGAAAGCCGGCAGCGAGAUUGGGUUUAGUGAUAGGUGGGCGAGAGGCAGUCAUUUCUUGGGACUUGAGGGUGAAGAAUAGCACAGAAGGAAACCCAACUGCGCUGGCCCUUUGUUGCCACCAUUUUGGGGCAAAUGGCAGGAUAGUGAAGGAACAGUAGAUCAUAACAGAGAAGAUGCACACUGCCUGAUCUUUCGGCAGUCUCCCACCUGGUUGCCCUGGGCCGGCCCCACUCCGCUGUUCCCGCUGGACUCAAGAAGUCUUGGCAAGUGAGGACCUGCCUGGUUCUGACAUCGAAUCUGGGACGUCAGCACCCAGUCCCUGAGUCCCAGACACCCCACCACCACCAGCCUCCCUGACAACUCCAGAACCAGUGGACCUAUUCUCACCUGGACCAGCAGCCAGACCACCCUCAGCCAGGAGCAGGCACCCUUCAGAUGCCAGUGAAAGAGGUGCGGGAGCCUGAAAGACAUAAUAUGGGACCAACCAGUGCAGCCAGUCCAUGUUUUACUGUCAACCCUUCUCCACAAAUGACACCUGGUCAGAAAAGUCACAAGCCCUAGUUGAUCUCAUGGAAUCCCUCUUACAAAUCCAUCAGCCCACCUAAAAAACUGUUAACAGCUUCUCGACUCCCUGUUCACAAUAGAAUACAGGAGGCAGCCAUGGUCCUUGAUUGGGGUGCAUGGGCUGAAAUCACUGUCCCCAAGGAGCACCCCGAGUGUCACUUCACCACCCCUGAUCAGCCGAUAUCAGGACACCCUCCUCCAGGGGAUCAAAGCUGGGUCCAAGAAGCCUAUGAACAUGACCAAAGUAUCUUCAAUCACUCAACAACCAGGAGACUCUCCUGGGGACUAUUAUAAAAGACUGUGUGGAGAUUAUUGCAUCUACACCCCCUUCAAUUCUGAGACACUAGGGAGCCAACAAAUGGUCAACACCUCAUUCAUAGCUCAGGCCACCCCAGACAUCAGAAAAAAAGCUCCAAAACUUGAAAACUUUGCCAGGAUGAAUAUCACUCAGCUGAUUAAAAUUGCCAACAAAGUGUAUCUAAACAGAGAAGUUCAGGCAGACAGGCUGAAAGAAAAAAGAAAAAGGCCAGCUUCCUGGCAACUGCCCUAAAAGAAAAAGAGAUGACCAAAAGGCAGAGAAAAGCUGGCUGCCAGGAGGGAGGAAGCCUAGGACGCCCCUAGCCAGGGACCAGUGUGCUUAAUGUGAAGAGAAGGGGCAUUGGAAAAACAAGUGCCCCAACCGAGGCAAAGCCCUGAAGCUCGGUCACUGCCGGAAGGAGCCAUGCAGGGAAAGGCUCACUGGCCUGCUAGGAGCAGACUCAGCCUGACAAGGCCCGGGCUCUCGCACUCGGCCCCCAUGAGCCCACGGUCAGAAUGAAAGUGGGGAGACAACAAAUGACUUUUAUGGUUGACACAGGGGCACAACACUCUGCAGUCACCACGCUUCAGUAAAAAGACUGCAACUAUUCUCGGAGCCACUGGUACAUAAACAGUCCAGUAACACUUUUGCCAAACCCACCAGUGUGAAUUUGGAGGCUACAAGGCCCAACAUGAGUUUCUCUACCUGCCCGAGUGCCCCAUUCCCCUCUUCAGCCAAGAUAUACUCUCAAAGCUUGGAGCCCAAAUACCUUCUGAACCAACAGGAUGCACCAGCCUCAAACUAAACCCAGGCCAAGAAGAGCCAGGGUCCCUCGUGCUGGCAAUAACCACACCCAGGGAAGAGGAGUGGAGGCUGUUCUGUGCCCAGACCCUCUCAAGUAGCUCACCUGAAGUCAGAGCUGCCUUCCCCUUGGUAUGGGCUGAAGACAACCCACCUGGACUUGCUCAUAACCAAGCCCCUGUCAUUGUAGAAUUGACUCUGGGGGCCCAGUCACACAGACACUGGCAGUAUCCCCUCACAAGCAGGCAUCCAGGAACACUUGAUCAGACUCAGAGAGGCAGGUAUUCUAACUGAGUGUCAGUCGCCCUAGAACACCCCACUUCUACCAGUCAAGAAGCCAGGAGGAGGGCACCAUCCUGUUCAAGACCUGCAAGCCAUUAACAGAGUGACUGUUUCUUUACACCUGGUGGUCCAAAACCCGUACACCCUCCUCAGCUAGAUCCCAGAGUCUGCCAAAUGGUUCACUUGCCUAGACUUUAAGGAUGCCUUUUUCUGACUCCGUCUUGACCCCCAAAGCCAGCUCUUGUUUGCCUUUGAAUGGACUGAACCAGACAUCAGGUGUCAGAUGCUGUUAAGCUGCACAGGGCUUCCACAAGAGUUCAAGAACUCACUGACUCUCUUUGGAGAAGCAUUGGCUGCAGACCUUGCCAGCUUUCUGAGGGAAGCUACACACUGCGCCCUCCUCCAGUAUGUAGAUGACCUCCUCUUUGCCAGUGACACUGAGGAAAAUUUUUUGAAAGUCACAAGGGCCUUCCUACAACUCCUGUCAGACUCAGGAUACUGAGCCUCAUGGAAAAAGGCACAAAUCUGCCAUCAACAAGUCCAUACUUGGUCUUCCUCCUCACCCAGGGAGAAAGGACACUAGAGCCAGAGAAGAAAAACAUCAUUGACUCCUUCCCCAGCCCCAGAUGGGGGUGGGGUGGCAAGUGAGAAUUCCUAGGAGCCACCAGGUUCUGCAAAAAUCUGGAUUCCCAGAUUCUCAGCAAUGGCAUGGCCCCUCCUCAACCUCCUGUGCGGGCCAGACUGUAAGCCCUCUGUCUGGACAAAAAAGGCAAGAGUUGCCUUCCUGGAAAUAAAAGGUGCUUCAAAACAAACACCAGCCCUUGGCCUGCCAGAUAAAAAAGGCGCUUCAAUCUCUUUGUGCAUACAAAAGUAACAAUUCUGCAUCGCAAAAAACAUCAAAAGAAAAACAACCCUGUAACACAGGAGAACCAGCUAGCAGAUGAAGCAGCUUAAACAGCGACCAAUAAAAAAACAGAUAAAGCUCCUUCCCUCAGUAUGGCCCUAACACCCCCAGUGGAGUCCCCUCCACUGAAGCACACUAAAAAGAAAAAGACUGAGCCAUAGCUGAAGGAGCCAAUCUAUAAAAAAAAAAAAAAAAACAAUCCUACAUCAGCCAGUAGUACUGCCUGCAUUAUGCCUAUCAGUAAGUGAGCAAUACAUGACUUGUGCCAAAAAUAACUCUUGAUCAACACCACAACCCCGCCCAGUGUCCAAACAGCAGGACUUGCCGCCUUUAAAUACCUCAAGAUAGACUUCACAGAUAUCCAGCCAAGCAGGGGACUCAGAUAUCCUUAGUAAUAGUAUGUGCAUACUCUGGCUAGGUCGAAGUCUUCCCAACCAGGACAGAAUGAAGCCAGGAAGUAGCCAAAGUCCUUCUGACAGAAAUAGUGCUCCAGUUUGGCCUACCAUCCACAAUCCACAGUGACAGUGGGCCUGCCUUUGUAGCAGAUGUACUACAAAUGUUAACUAAAAUCCCUCAACAUUACCUGAAAACUUCACACUGUGUACAGGCCACAGAGUUCAGGGAAAGUAGAGUGAAUGAAUCAUACCCUCAAAGGAACCCUAGCUAAAUUUUGCCAAGAAACUGGACUUCCAUGGCCAGAUUUACUGCCCCUGGCUCUCCUGCGUGCUCGCUGCACACUUGGAACUAAAGGUUUUUCCCCUUUUGAAUUAGUGUAUGGACACCCUCCCCUGUGUCUAGGAAGCAUCCCAGGGAACCUACACCAAAUAGGAGAUGAGAGAGCAAGAGAACAGCCCCAAGCCUUGGGAGCCACCCUAAGUAAGCUACAACAAUACCCCAUAGAGCCCUGAUCUCUCUAGGAAUGCAGUACAUUCCUUCCAGGCUGGGGUCUCAGUCUGGGUUAAAGAUUGGAAAAGGACCCCUUCAAACCUCAGUGGACUGACCCCCACAUUCUAACUACUACUGCUCUCAGGGCUGCAGGCAUCACUCCGGGGGUCCAUCAUUCCAGAGUGGGAAGGGCCCAUCCUGACAAGGAAGCACAUCAGUGGAGGCCCAGCCAGACCUCCAGAUCCUCUCCACCUCCACAUCCUAUGAUUGCCCUCUGACUAAUGGACACCUCUGCUCCGUGGAUCCUGGCCCUCGCUGGAGUGGUGUCUUUCAUUCUGGGCAUUGGACUCUCUGCUGCUGCCCCCUCUGACUAAACUGUUCCUCAAAAAAAGUUGCCCUGUCUAUUGUCUAUUGGGUAAUUGUUAAGUUGUUCUGCUCUGCUUACCUGUCUCUCUAGCUGAACUCAAGUCUCAACCUGCAUUUCCAAAGUACCUCUCUAUAAUGUUUAACUGUACAAAAGUUAUAAAGUGUAUAGUAUGCCUGAAGGAAGCUGCCUCCUUUCCCCUGGUGAGAUUUCCUGGGCAAAAUGGUCUGCCCCUUUGCUGAUCCCUGCUCUAGUUGGGCUCAGUGUAGAUGGAUCAGCUGCAAUAGGCACAGUGGACCUAAUAUAAAGAGACUUAGGGCUUGCUGCCCUAACAGAGGAAGCUGAUCAAGAUUUAGAGAAGCUUGAAACCACCACGAUUCAGCUCCAAGAUCAAAUUGAUUCCCUGGCUGAAGUAUUGUUACAGAAUCGUAGCGGAUUGAACCUCCUCUUCAUGUCCCAGGGAAGCUUAUGUGUAGCCCUUGGAGAAGAUUGUUAUUUUUAUGCAAACAGGUCUGGAAUAGUUAGGAGCUCUCUAGCCACAGUAAAAGAAAAUAUCCUGCAUAGGAAUAAGAUGUUAGAAAACAAAAAGCCUUGAUUCCAAGGAUGGUUUGAAUGGAAUUCAUGGAUAACAACUCUUCUAACUGGCCUUGCUGGGCCAGUGAUUCUGAUGUUCCUCAGACUAUUUAGGACCCUUCAUAUUUAACUGGCUCAUUAACUUUAUUAAGGAAUGCAUUUCCUCCAUACAGCUCAUGUAUAUGCGGAGCCACUAUGACCUUCAUAAACCAGGAAAAUGAUGCCCCUUUUACUGAUUGGAAUGCCCAUCUGUCCUGCUUCCAAUGUUGUGCAGAAGAUACUUGCUCUGCCUCUUCCUCUGAAGGAAGGAGCAUGAGCGUGAGGCCCCAACCGGUCACCAGUGACCCUGCCCCCUCCUUCCCCGACCCGGGACCUCAGCCUGCUCUCCGCUGCAUGGACUAUUUUCCGGUGAGUCCCUCAGUUUCCCCCGGUCUGCUUCCCUUCCUAACUCUGAUUCACCUGGUCUGUUACAAAUCAUAUGUAUGUCCAGGUGGGGGCAUCUGGCCCCUUGGGCAUCCAGCCUACCCUCUGCAGGCAUCCAGCCUGCCCCUGGUCCUGCGGUGCGGGAACUGUCCCUCACCCAGGCUCCCAGGACAUCUCCUCUGACUUGGCGCGCUUGGGACACUGGGUGCUCCUCUCAGCGGGAUUAGUUGGGGAGUGAUGCAGAUAUGGGAAACCAGCCCUCAAAAGCAGAGGCUCAGACCCCACUGCAGUGUCUCCUUUCUAAUUUGGCUGCUCUA